GGUUUCGUAGUGUAGCGGUUAUCACGUCUGCUUUACACGCAGAAGGUCCUGAGAUCGAUCCUUAGCGAAAUAA